GUCUUCUAGACCAAUCCUUUUGUUUUGAAAAUGAGGAAACUAAAGCUCAGGGAAAGGACUUGCCCAAUUGGUUCAUACUAGAGCUGGGACUAGGACCCAGAAGACUCUGGAAGUUGGAGAGAAGAAGGCAGAUUCGUUAGGACCUGGGGACCUGAGGAACUCAGUGGUGAGUUCCUUGAGUUUUCUUUCUGCCUGUCAUUUCCCAGACUUACAGCUGAGGGAGUUGGCAACCUGGAAACACCAAUUUGCACAGAUGAAAAAAGCCCAACAAAAGCCUUCUCUCUCUUGUCAAAGGACCAGGAAAGGAGCAGCCUAGAAAGACAGAAAACUGUUAGACAAUAACCAUUCUACUCCAGCCAAACACCACAAAAAAACUGUGCUGCCUCCACCCCCCAUCUGCCAUGCUUGCAAAAGCCAGAUGGGGAUCUUAGACUUCUACCCAGUCUGUAAUGAGUUUUCCUAAGCUCCUCACUGGGGUGGUGCCAGAGAAAGCUGAGUAGGGAGCUGGGACUUCAACCGCACAGGAUGGUAGUGAGCUGCCUGUGCCCACGUGGUGUCAGUGGGGGGCAGGUGGAGAGUAACAAUGAGGCAUUCUGAACCCUGACAGCCAGACACGUAUCAGUGGAGACCUAGUGGAAAGCCAGAAUUUCCCCCCUCUGCCCUGCAAUAAUGAAGGGCCCCUUCCCCUCAGGCAUCAAUGAAGGCUAAGUGGGAAACCUGGACUUCUACCUCCACCUUGCAGUAAUGAGGUGGUGUCUCACCUUCUCUUGUUGGAGCUGUGUCAGAGGAAGCCAGUUAAAACCGAAGAUUUGGUGCUAGUGUUAGAUCUGAAGUGAACUUCUGACAGCAUUCAGGGACAACAAGAAACACAGGCAUGGCACCUGCGAACACUUUUGAGUUCACCGUCUUUCUCGCCAUUUCCAAGGGCCAUUGGGCAAGUCAGCUUGAGCUGAUAAAGGAUUCUAAGCAUGGAAUUAGAAAAAGAUCAGGGUGAGCUGGGAUUCAUUAUGUGCAAAAACUAGUUACCCGUCUGUCAUAGCUGUUGACAGAAGCUUCCUCUCCUGCAAUGUGAUCUGGUUUGACUAUUGGAUGUGAAUGGCAUAGAGUCUAAAAUCAAAACAUAACUCUUAGGUUUUAGUGACAACUUUUCAG
rnacentral:lncRNA from 1 species